UGUGACCUAAAAGAAAUGAGUGACGCUUUUUUAUGACUACAUGGAAACCAGAUCUUGAGUUGAUGGCGAACAGGUCACUGACGCGUUAUUCUUGCAUGCUUAUUUAGAGAUAAGUACGUUGAGCUCAGUCGGGCUUACUUCUUGCAAGCAUGCUUAGGAUUGCAUAAGAUCAGUGUGCUGAGACAGUAAAACUGUAAAUCUGGUUAAAGCAAUCACUAGGAAACGGAAAAUGUGAAGCAUCUCAUACAUCUCUCCAGCCACAUUUAGAACACCAUGUACAGUUCAGAUCUCUCCCGUCUGAAAAGGGGUAUCAUAGAGCUUGGAAUACUAACGAAAAAGCCAGCUGUAAAAUGGAAGAGAGCAUAUUGGAAAAACCAAAAGCCUCCACCCAGGAUUUCUUCAGGAGAAGAAAAGCCUGAGGAGUAAACCCUACACAAAUUCGGAGUGAAAUCCCUAAGAUGUUUGGGUGGCGCCUUGUACACCUCCUUCCAGCAACUCCUGCAGCCCAGCUGGUGCCAGAUGUAUCGCUCUGCUUUCCUUUAGACCACAUCCACACAACCACUGAGAAGGGGAUCUUGUCAUCUGAGUAGCCCAAGACCUCCAUAUACACUGCCCAGGCUUGCACCAUGGGGAGGCAUCAUCACUUUUGCUCUGCAUAUAAGGAAGUAGCUGAUUACCAGAACAUUUACGAAUAGUAUGUUAACAAAAGAGGCCAUUCAGGACCAGAGGCAGGCUAAUGAAGUAUAUAUGGCUACAUAUUUAAGGUAUUUAGAUCCACAACUUCAAAAGACAAAUUUGAAGAGUUCCGUUUAUUUUCUGUAUUUUGGUGUGCUGCAUCAAAACUGCAUCUUUGCUCACAAGAGGAAAACCCAAACAAACCCAAUCUUCUGAAACAUGCAUUGAAUGAAACGUGUCCCGCUGGUGAUACUAUUUUAAAUGCAAAC